CAACAUUUCAAAUGAUUACCAAACAGUGAGCAUCCUGUAAGGCCUUGGCUGUUUCCAGGGAGGCGUCAACCCACCCUGAAGCAGUUCCCAGUCAGCCCCACCAGCUGCUACCAUACUCAGCCAGAACAGAUUUACCCACCAGUGAGACCAGCAGCAAUCCCCAACAGUUCCAUGGGGCUGGCUGUGAAGGGCAAGACUUGGCCAAAGAAAGCCACGCUGUCCGAGUACAAGCAUUCUCUAUAGAGCACGGGAUGCUAAGGAGAGCUGCCAGAGACAGCAGCUCUACCUCUCCUCUUGUUGUCUGCAUGCUGCCUUGACUUGCAAAGACCACGAGGAAGACAAGAAGCUUUAAGUUGCAACUCUGCCAGAAGUCACAAAUCGGAAAGGGCCACAGCAUUUUACAUAGUUACUUCCAGAGCACAUCAGAAGUAAAAUGAUAAAUAUUAAGAAGUUAUGAAACCUAUAAUGGGCCAUUGCUCUUUUCUUCUGGACAGCAGCUCUACCUCUGCUGAAGAACCGGGACCAGCCUGCUUGCAGGAAUGGUCAAGCACCAAUGAAGAGAUAAGCAGCAGAUUUAAACCAAAAGGAAAUUCUUCUUCUCACAGCACAUCAUUAAACUGUGGAGCUAUUUGCCACAGGAUGUUGUGGAGGCCAAAAGUAUAAGUGUGUUCAAAAUGGAAUUAGAUACAUUCCUGAAGGUUAGCUCCAUUGGCAGCUAUCAACACGGUGCCCCAGACGCAGCUUUUGGUGAAGGAAAUCCCUGAAUUGUUAACUACUUAUGGCUGGCGUGAGUCACAGGGUAAGACUUUCUUAUAAAUGCUCUUCCACUCCUCGCUCAGCUACCAGCCACUUGUGGGGACAGGAUACAGGAUGAGCUAGAUGAGCCUUUGAUGUAAUCCUGUGCAGCUGUUUUCAUACCAGUAUGUGCAGUGUUGUUCCUUUAGUUUCAGUAAAACUUCAGUAAAAGUAUUCAGGGGCAAAAAUGUGCAGAGUUCAUGAGAAGAAGG